rnacentral:snoRNA from 1 species
ACGGUCGGUGAUGAGCAACAAUCACCAUCUUUCGUUUGAGCCUCGCGGCCGUGAGAUGAACCCCAUGCACCGCUCUGAGACCUG